UGGGGAAUAUUGGACAAUGGAGGAAACUCUGAUCCAGCAAUUCUGUGUGUGUGAAGAAGGUUUUAGGACUGUAAAACACUUUUAGUAGGGAAGAAAAAUAUGACGGUACCUACAGAAGAAGCAACGGCUAAAUACGUGCCAGCAGCCGCGGUAAUACGUAUGUUGCGAGCGUUAUCCGGAAUUAUUGGGCUUAAAGGGCAUCUAGGCGGUAAGACAAGUUGAAGGUGAAAACCUGUGGCUCAACCAUAGGCUUGCCUACAAAACUGUUGAACUAGAGUACUGGAAAGGUGGGUGGAACUACACGAGUAGAGGUGAAAUUCGUAGAUAUGUGUAGGAAUGCCGAUGAUGAAGAUAACUCACUGGACAGAAACUGACGCUGAAGUGCGAAAGCUAGGGGAGCAAACAGG
rnacentral:rRNA from 1 species